rnacentral:lncRNA from 9 species
CUACUUCUAACAACCCCCUGAGUGAAGGCAAUACCUGUUAAGAUGCAUGACAUUUUAGGAUUGGUAAUCAAAUUCAUCAGUAAUACCUAAUGAGAAUUAACUAACUCAUUCUUUCCGAGGCAAACCUAUUGGAGAAGGGCGUGUACAAGAAUUAAAUGACAGUUGGAAGAGAGCAAGUGAAUUGUCACUGGGAGGAAGUCCUGAGGAGCCUGUGCAAGACGCGAGAGGGCGCUAUAGACCCUCAAGAAGAGAAGUGUGGUGGCGAAUCAGAAAGGGAGGAACACCUUUUACAUCUUGUGGAACUCACUUUGGAUAUGUGGAGUGAUAUGACUGUGAAGCAAGAAAGGGGCCUUGGACUAUGGACAUAUUCAAAAGAUCCAUCGUAAAUGCUGACUUUUGGAGUUUUAGAAGCUAAUUUUUGUUUGGCCUUGCCUGUGUAAGAAUAUACAGGGAAAUUCAUCACAGGGCUUCCUGGCAAGGUCCAUCCUAGGUCAUUCAGAGGCUGCGUUCCUCAGCCACAGCUUUUUUGUUUCCUGGAAAUCCUCAGAUCCUCCUCUGUGAUACCAAAAUAUCUGCUUCUUGCAACACACCUCGCCAUUGCCAACACAAUCUGUUGUAAUGAACUGACUUUUUUUUUCUUUCCUUGUGUUCUUCAGGAUUCUUAAUCUCACUUGCCUUUUCCUGAAUCAAAGCAUUUGAGUUUGGCUUCAAGUUAAUUUUCCAUCUGUUUAAUCUCCAUGAUUUCUGAGUGUAUUCAGUGAUGAGUGCACUGGACUGUUCUAUUUCUUUUCUUUUCUUUUUUUUUUUUUUUUGUCUUUUUGCCUUUUCUAGGGCCAUUCCCGUGACAUAUGGAGGAUCCCAGGCUAAGAGUCUAACCGGAGCUGUAGCCGCCAGCCUACGCCACAGCCAUAGUAACGCUGGGAUCCGAGCCACAUCUGUGACCUACACUACAGCUCACGGCAACACCAGUUCCUUAACCCCUUGAGCGAUGCUAGGGACCGAACUCGCAACCUCAUGGUUCCUAGUUGGAUUCGUUAACCACUGAGCCACGACGGGAACUCCCUAUUUCAUUCUUGAUCACAGUUUAGAAGGACAG